AUUUGAAUUUCAACCAGCUCCAAGUUUUCUUUUUCCAGAUGCGUUUUUCGUUUUUCAAUGCAACAACAAAUACAAAUUGAUUUAUACAAACUCACCUUUCUUCUUUUUCUGUGCAACCUUUUGAAUUCCAUCUAGCUUCAUUUCAAUACCUCUCUCUCUCUCUCUCUCUCUCUCUCUCUCUCUCUCUCUCCACGCCAAUGAAGAAAAUUUCACUCUCUUCCAUGUCUUUUCUACUUUCACCGUCGUAUUUCUCCUCUCAUCCCUCGCCGUCGUCGACUCAACUGCCACCGUCUGCGCCCUCCUAAAGCAACAAGGUGUCCUUGAUUUUGAAUUCCUUUUUGGAUUGUUGACAACUUGCUUGCGAUGGUGGGGCAGAGCUCACAGUGGUAUGACGAUGCCUUUGUACUAUAGUGUGUUUUUCUUCUUUGUUUGAUUUUUGUUCCAAUGUUGAAAAUAAACAAAUUUGCUGGUAGUUUGAAGUUUAUAUUGGUUGAAAAUUGAAACAAAAUGUGUUGACUCAUUUGAUGGGAGAGACUUUGAAUAGUUUGAUUUCUUAUAUUUAUGCUUACCAUCUCAAUUUGAAGAUCCUUUUAUUUUUUUUAAUUUUACUUAUAUUAUAAAGAGUUUCUUUCAAAUUUUUACAUGUAUAACUGUGUGUUGAAUCAUUUAGAAUAUGGAGUAGCCUUAGAUAGCAUACAUUGCAACUUUGGUUUUUUUAUUGAUAGUAUAGCAUGAAAUACUUUAUAAUGAUAUUUGAGCAGAUCUAACUCAAUUAUAUUAUUUUUUGAAAGGAUUCUUCAUAAAAACUUUAGGCAUGAACCAAAAAUGUACGACACAUUUGGAUCUUAAAGCAGCCUAUAACUCAAAAAGCUAUUUAGCAUGAUAUUUUAUGUUGAGAAUGUGUCUUGAUAGAUGGUGUUAUGUAUCUCAUUUUCAAAUUGCUAUAUAGUGUUGGUAGUUGAUGUGUUUUUAGAUCGUAUUUGAAUUAAGAAGACUUAAGCUUAUAUGUCCAAGACUUAAGCUUAUAUGUUCGGACAUGAGGGAGCUUUUUCUUCGUGGCUGUCAGCGUGUGUUAUACUGCAUUAUGUGUUUUGUUUAUGUAAGUUUUUUUCCUCCGCUGCUACUUCAAGGUCUGCCUUCAAUGUUUCUGUUUAGCCAUUUUGUGCGAUAGGCUUUUUUCAUUCAAUUUUACUCUUUGCCUAAUUUGUGUUGCAUGCAUGAAUCCAUGUCUCUCUUCUUUAGGACUUCUCAUGUAUAAAUAGGGACCAUUUAUUUUAUUUUGAUUCACAUUUUCUUAAAAUUGUUUAUAUCUUUUCUUUUUAUUACUCUCUCUAACACUUCUUUGUUUGACAUUUUUAUGGAUUUGCAUUUGCAAGAAUUUAAACCCCUCAUUUGGGUUUUUUUGCAUACUAUUUUCCCUAGAUUGUGUGAUUAUGGAAGGUUAAACUUGAAAUGAGAAUGGCAAUUAACUCUGUUUAUCUUAAGGACCAUGAUAUCUAUUGAUGCUGCUUGAUGAAUUAAGGGAGUUGGCAUUUUCAAGAAAUCUAUUGAAACAUUUACCCAAACUUGGAGAAGAGGUGAAAGCUUUGUUAGUUAAAUUCAAUUAUAGAGCUAAUGAGCUUUCUGAGAAACAAAGUUCUGGUAUUAUUGUUUUCACCAAAAUCUUUAUAGACACCACAUUGAAUAUUGAUGAAGGAAAACCGAGCAAUGUUACCCUUAAACAUCUUAAAUGUGGAUCAUAAAGUUUCAAUAUCCAAGCUUCAAGCAAUAAAGACAAGAUAAUGAAGUUUGACGAGUCCAUUAGUGCCGCUGAGGAUAAGAUCAAGGCCUGGGAUGUUGAAAUUGAAGAUAUCAAAGCACAGAAUCGUUUGCACAAGGAGAAAGCACGUAGGGUUCAACAAGAGAAGCCAUAGUUAGAGGAUGCUUGCUCAAAAUGUAAGGAGAAGAUAACUGAAAUUGUGGAAGAAGCUAAAAAUGUAGCCUCUAUUACCAUACAAACCCGCGAGAAGAUUGAUAAUGUAAAAAAGAAGCGGGAGUUGAAUUCAAAUUAUGAUACACUUGAAGGAAAUUAUGCCAUAUAAACUCUCACCUGCAUAAUGAAACUUAUAUGUUAUUUAAUGUUUUCAGGUGAA